UACGAAGGGGGCAAGCGUUGUUCGGAAUCACUGGGCGUAAAGGGCGUCUAGGUGGUCUCACAAGUUGGAUGUGGAAUCCCUGAGCUCAACUCAGGAACUGCAUCCAAAACUCUGAGACUUGAGUGUGGAAAGGGAAGGCGGAAUUCCUGGUGUAGCGGUGAAAUGCGUAGAUAUCAGGAGGAACACCGGUGGCGAAGGCGGCCUACUGGACCAACACUGACACUCAAGCGCGAAGGCUAGGGGAGCAAACGGG
rnacentral:rRNA from 1 species